rnacentral:rRNA from 1 species
CCUAGUAACGGCGAGUGAAGCGGCAACAGCUCAAAUUUGAAAUCUGGCCUCGGCCCGAGUUGUAAUUUGCAGAGGAAGCUUUAGGCGCGGCACCAACUGAGUCCCCUGGAACGGGGCGCCAUAGAGGGUGAGAGCCCCGUAUAGUUGGACGCCUAGCCUGUGUAAAGCUCCUUCGACGAGUCGAGUAGUUUGGGAAUGCUGCUCAAAAUGGGAGGUAAAUUUCUUCUAAAGCUAAAUACCGGCCAGAGACCGAUAGCGCACAAGUAGAGUGAUCGAAAGAUGAAAAGCACUUUGAAAAGAGGGUUAAAUAGCACGUGAAAUUGUUGAAAGGGAAGCGCUUGUGACCAGACUUGCGCCGGGCGGAUCAUCCGGUGUUCUCACCGGUGCACUCCGCCCGGCUCAGGCCAGCAUCGGUUCUCGCGGGGGGAUAAAGGUCCCGGGAACGUAGCUCCUCCGGGAGUGUUAUAGCCCGGGGCGUAAUGCCCUCGCGGGGACCGAGGUUCGCGCAUCUGCAAGGAUGCUGGCGUAAUGGUCAUCAGCGACCCGUCUUGAAACACGGACCAAGGAGUCAAGGUUUUGCGCGAGUGUUUGGGUGUAAAACCCGCACGCGUAAUGAAAGUGAACGUAGGUGAGAGCUUCGGCGCAUCAUCGACCGAUCCUGAUGUUUUCGGAUGGAUUUGAGUAGGAGCGUUAAGCCUUGGACCCGAAAGAUGGUGAACUAUGCUUGGAUAGGGUGAAGCCAGAGGAAACUCUGGUGGAGGCUCGCAGCGGUUCUGACGUGCAAAUCGAUCGUCAAAUCUGAGCAUGGGGGCGAAAGACUAAUCGAACCAUCUAGUAGCUGGUUNCCGCCGAAGUUUCCCUCAGGAUAGCAGUGUUGUUCUUCAGUUUUAUGAGGUAAAGCGAAUGAUUAGGGACUCGGGGGCGCUUUUUAGCCUUCAUCCAUUCUCAAACUUUAAAUAUGUAAGAAGCCCUUGUUACUUAAUUGAACGUGGGCAUUCGAAUGUACCAACACUAGUGGGCCAUUUUUGGUAAGCAGAACUGGCGAUGCGGGAUGAACCGAACGCGGGGUUAAGGUGCCGGAGUGGACGCUCAUCAGACACCACAAAAGGCGUUAGUACAUCUUGACAGCAGGACGGUGGCCAUGGAAGUCGGAAUCCGCUAAGGACUGUGUAACAACUCACCUGCCGAAUGUACUAGCCCUGAAAAUGGAUGGCGCUCAAGCGUCCCACCCAUACCCCGCCCUC